CUGGUUGAUCCUGCCGGACCUGACUGCUAUCGGAUUGGUACUAAGCCAUGUGAGUCGUUGCAGCAAUGCAAGGCAGACGGCUCAGUAACACGUAGUCAACCUAACCUAUGGACGGGGAUAACCUCGGGAAACUGAGAAUAAUACCCGAUAGAUCAUGAUACCUGGAACGGUUUAUGGUUCAAAUGAUUUAUCGCCAUAGGAUGGGACUGCGGUCUAUCAGCUUGUUGGUGAGGUAAUGGCCCACCAAGGCUAUAACAGAUACGGGCUCUGAGAGGAGGGGCCCGGAGAUGGGUACUGAGACACGGACCCAGGUCCUAUGGGGCGCAGCAGGCGAGAAACCUUUGCAAUGUGCGAAAGCACGACAAGGUUAAUCCGAGUGAUUCCUGCUAAAGGAAUCUUUUGUUAGUCAUAAAACCACUGAUGAAUAAGGGGUGGGCAAGUUCUGGUGUCAGCCGCCGCGGUAAUACCAGCACCUCGAGUGGUCAGGAGGUUUAUUGGGCCUAAAGCAUCCGUAGCCGGCUGCUCAAGUUUCCGGUUAAAUCCACACACUUAACGUAUGGGCUGCCGGAAAUACUGUUCAGCUAGGGAGUGGGAGAGGUAGACGGUACUCGAUAGGAAGGGGUAAAAUCCUUUGAUCUAUUGAUGACCACCUGUGGCGAAGGCGGUCUACCAGAACACGUUCGACGGUGAGGGAUGAAAGCUGGGGGAGCAAACCGGAUUAGAUACCCGGGUAGUCCCAGCUGUAAACGAUGCAGACUCGGUGAUGCAUUGGCUUAUGGCCAGUGCAGUGCCGCAGGGAAGCCGUUAAGUUUGCCGCCUGGGAAGUACGUACGCAAGUAUGAAACUUAAAGGAAUUGGCGGGGGAGCACCACAAGGGGUGAAGCCUGCGGUUCAAUUGGAGUCAACGCCGGG
rnacentral:rRNA from 1 species